UUGGUGAAGUGGAUGAUCCUAUGCUGCCGAGAAAAGCCUCUAGUGAGUGUUGUGGCGGCCCGUACCCUAAACCGACUCAGGUGGUCAGGUAGAGAAUACCAAGGCGAUCGGGUGAACUGUGGUUAAGGAACUCGGCAAAUUGCCCCCGUAACUUCGGGAGAAGGGGGACCUCUGCUGGUGAUGGGCUUUACGUUCUGAGCUGGUGGGGGUCGCAGUGGCCAGGGGGAAGCGACUGUUUACUAAAAACACAGGUCCGUGCGAAGUCGUAAGACGAUGUAUACGGACUGACGCCUGCCCGGUGCCGGAACGUUAAGGGGACCGCUUAGCCAACGCGAGUUGGCGAAGGUGAGAACUUAAGCGCCGGUAAACGGCGGUGGUAACUAUAACCAUCCUAAGGUAGCGAAAUUCCUUGUCGGGUAAGUUCCGACCUGCACGAAUGGCGUAACGACUUCCCCGCUGUCUCAACCACAGACCCGGCGAAAUUGCACUACGAGUAAAGAUGCUCGUUUCGCGCAGCAUGACGGAAAGACCCCGGGACCUUCACUACAGCUUGACAUUGGCGUUUGGAACGUCUUGUGUAGGAUAGGUGGGAGACUGGGAAGCUGUCACGCUAGUGAUGGUGGAGUCGUUGGUGAAAUACCACUCUGGUCGUUUUGAACGUCUAACUCUGGUCCGUGAUCCGGAUCGGGGACAGUGUCUGGUGGGUAGUUUAACUGGGGCGGUUGCCUCCUAAAGAGUAACGGAGGCGCCCAAAGGUUCCCUCAGCCUGGUUGGCAAUCAGGUGUUGAGUGUAAGUGCACAAGGGAGCUUGACUGUGAGACUGACAGGUCGAGCAGGAGCGAAAGCUGGGACUAGUGAUCCGGCAUCGGCGUGUGGAAGCGGUGUCGCUCAACGGCUAAAAGGUACCCCGGGGAUAACAGGCUGAUCUUCCCCAAGAGUCCAUAUCGACGGGAUGGUUUGGCACCUCGAUGUCGGCUCGUCGCAUCCUGGGGCUGGAGUAGUCCCAAGGGUUGGGCUGUUCGCCCAUUAAAGCGGUACGCGAGCUGGGUUUAGAACGUCGCGAGACAGUUCGGUCCCUAUCCGCUGCGCGCGCAGGAGACUUGAAGGGGGCUGUCCCUAGUACGAGAGGACCGGGACGGACGAACCUCUGGUGUGCCAGUUGUACCGCCAGGUGCACGGCUGGUUGGCUACGUUCGGAAGGAAUAACCGCUGAAAGCAUCUAAGCGGGAAGCUCGCCUUGAGAUGAGGUCUCCCACCCCGUGAGGGGGUAAGGCUCCCGGUAGAUCACCGGGUUGAUAGGCCGGAGGUGGAAGCACGGUAACGUGUGGAGCUGACCGGUACUAAUAGGCCGAGGACUUGACCAC
rnacentral:rRNA from 1 species